rnacentral:rRNA from 1 species
CCCUUAGAUGUUCUGGGCGGCCCGCGCACUACAUUGGCACUAGCAAAGAGAUCCUAGAUUGAAUUCUUUGGGGUAUUCUUCUAGAUGGUGUCGUGACUGGGAUAAAUCCUUGUAAUUAUUGGUUUUGAACGAGGAAUUCCUUGUAAUCGCGGUUUAUCAGCUCGCGUUGAAUGCGUCCCUGCCCUUUGUACACACCGCCCGUCGCUCCUACCGAUGGAUCGUCCGGUGAAGCUCACGGAGUGACUGUUCACGCAACGGUUUACGAAGUGAAAUGGACCUCACGAUUUAGAGGAAGGAGAAGUCGUAACA